rnacentral:rRNA from 1 species
UUUAUGGAGAGUUUGAUCCUGGCUCAGGAUGAACGCUGGCGGCGUGCCUAAUACAUGCAAGUCGAGCGAACGGACGAGAAGCUUGCUUCUCUGAUGUUAGCGGCGGACGGGUGAAUAACACGUGGAUAACCUACCUAUAAGACUGGGAUAACUUCGGGAAACCG